rnacentral:rRNA from 1 species
UAAGGAAUAUUGGUCAAUGGACGCAAGUCUGAACCAGCCAUGCCGCGUGAAGGAUGAAGGUCCUCUGGAUUGUAAACUUCUUUUAUCUGGGACGAAAACGGGAUUUUUAUCUAAAUUGACGGUACCAGAGGAAUAAGCACCGGCUAACUCCGUGCCAGCAGCCGCGGUAAUACGGAGGGUUCGAGCGUUAUCCGGAUUUACUGGGUUUAAAGGGUGCGUAGGUGGGCUUAUAAGUCAGUGGUGAAAUCUCCGAGCUUAACUUGGAAACUGCCGUUGAUACUAUAGGUCAUGAAAUAUCUGGAGGUAAGCGGAAUAUGUCAUGUAGCGGUGAAAUGCUUAGAUAUGACAUAUAACACCAAUUGCGAAGGCAGCUUACUACAGAUAAAUUGACGCUGAGGCACGAAAGCGUGGGGA